CCAAAAUGACAUCAUUUUAAUUAGUUAUGGUGUCACUUGAGAAAAGGAAUGUGGAUAAUGGUUGCUAGGGUGUCGUAUCUAGGUUUUAUUUUUAUUAAUGGCACUCUGAGGUCCGCUUUAUUAAAACUAUUUCUGUAGUGCUCUUAAACGUGACGUGUCUUUCCCCUCCGACCGGAAGAGAGAGACAGACUUGCUGGUUUGCUGCUGAGCGGCUGAUAUAUCGCUCGACCUAAAGAGACUAAAGCCCAAUUCAAGGGAUCAUAAUGGUGACAGACGUGCAGCUGGCUAUAUUUGCCAACAUGCUUGGCGUGUCGUUGUUCCUGCUGGUUGUGUUAUAUCACUACGUUGCUGUCAAUAAUCCCAAGAAACAGGAGUAGAGUCUGCCAAUAUCAUCUGAGAGGUGAUAUGGGACUGCCACCACCAUGGAAACAACAUUCCCCUCUUCCUGUCCUCUUUCCAAGAGAUGAAUUUCUUUGUAAGAUUGCACACUAGUGUUUUUUGUAAUAAAAAUGUGUGAAAUGCA